rnacentral:rRNA from 1 species
AUCUAUGGCCAUGCCACCAUGAACAAGCCCGAGCUCGUCUGAUCUCGGAAGCUAAGCAGGGUCGGGCCUGGUUAGUACUUGGAUGGGGAGACCACCUAGGAAGACCAGGAGCUGUAGGCG